rnacentral:ncRNA from 2 species
CUUCAAGAGUUUCGACUGAUAAGCUCCGACUAUGGUCGAACGCCAACCCCAUGUUCACGGGUGGCUCGGAUGACGAAGCGGUUUGUAUUCACCACCGGAAUAACCGGUGGUAAUUGGUACAGACAAGAGCAACGC